GACGAACGCUGGCGGCGUGCUUAACACAUGCAAGUCGAACGGAAAGGCCCUGCUUGCAGGGUACUCGAGUGGCGAACGGGUGAGUAACACGUGGGUGAUCUGCCCUGCACUUCGGGAUAAGCCUGGGAAACUGGGUCUAAUACCGGAUAGGAGCCAUUUUUAGUGUGAUGGUUGGAAAGUUUUUUCGGUGUAGGAUGAGCUCGCGGCCUAUCAGCUUGUUGGUGGGGUAAUGGCCUACCAAGGCGGCGACGGGUAGCCGGCCUGAGAGGGUGGACGGCCACAGUGGGACUGAGAUAGGGCCCAGACUCCUACGGGAGGCAGCAGUGGGGAAUAUUGCACAAUGGGCGCAAGCCUGAUGCAGCGACGCCGCGUGGGGGAUGACGGCCUUCGGGUUGUAAACUCCUUUCGCUAGGGACGAAGCUUUUUGUGACGGUACCUAGAUAAGAAGCACCGGCUAACUACGUG
rnacentral:rRNA from 1 species